UACGUAGGGUGCAAGCGUUGUCCGGAAUUAUUGGGCGUAAAGAGCUCGUAGGCGGUCUGUCGCGUCGGCUGUGAAAACUCGGGGCUCAACCCCGAGCCUGCAGUCGAUACGGGCAGACUAGAGUGCUGUAGGGGAGACUGGAAUUCCCGGUGUAGCGGUGAAAUGCGCAGAUAUCAGGAGGAACACCGGUGGCGAAGGCGGGUCUCUGGGCAGUAACUGACGCUGAGACGCGAAAGCGUGGGGAGCGAACAGG
rnacentral:rRNA from 1 species